rnacentral:lncRNA from 1 species
CAGAGGGUUCCAGGCCCCUGAAGUGUAGGGGAGCCCCAUUCCCAAGACCACACCGGCUGAGGAAUGAGGGGCUUUCCCAGAACUAUUCCAGGAGUAGCAGGACCCAGGUAUGAAUGCAGGGCUGCCUGCUCCAGAGGCCGAGGCACAGAUAAAGAAACUGAGGCACAGAGAGGGAAACUUGCCAUCAGGUGGGGCAUGUCAGCUGGAGGCAGAUGGCUGCAUUCCCAAGGAAAGAGGAGAGAGGAGGAAGAAAGCUGGGAACCAACGUGGAAAAACGGGCAAGAACCACAGCCAAACGAUAUCCCAGGAACAGGCCACGGCUGCCCAGGACACGUCUUCCACCCGCCCCGCCACUGGUGGAUUUGGACUCCUGCCCAUGCCACCAGGGCCCCUGUGACCACUGCUCUGAUUUUGAUCCUUCUGAGAGGGCCACAGUUUCAGUGGAGAACUGCGCUAGCCCUGGAGUAAGGGCUGUUCCAGACCCAUCCAGACAAAGCCGAAAAACGAGUCUUGACAGGAUAAAACUGAUGUACAAAAAAAUGCAGCUAACCGCCAAAGCCAAACUCAGUAAUCUUUAAAGGAAGACAACAAAAUCCAGACUCUCAACAAGGUACUAUCACAAUGUCCAACAUCCAAGCAAAAAUGAUUAGAGAUGCGAUAAAGCAGGAAAAUGUGAAUCAUAACCAGAAGAAAAGUUAGCCAAUAAAGAGCCCCAUGGAAUUCAUGGGGCAAAGUGGAGGUACCCUCUGUCAUUAUGUAUUUUCCCAUCGGUAGACGGUUAGUUCCCCUGAAGCAGCGUUAACAUUAAAAAGGAGUUCUUGGAAGCAAAAGAGAGAGAGCCACAGGCAUAGGGGCCAUCCAGAACCCAAGUGUCCAUCAAGACGGCCAGUAGGUGCACAAUGUGGACGGUCCUAGAGCCGGGCACUGGGACCCAGAGUUGUGGGCUGCACAACUACAGCCCUGAGGGGUUCAGCCUGGGUGAAGAUAGAUAAGAGCACAGCACAGAUGGCAGAUGCCAUGAGAGGCACAGCAAAGGCUCUUGGGCACCAGAGGGUGAGAGUUAUGGAAGUCUUCGUGGAGGAGGUUCCUUUUGAAUUGAGCUUUAAAAGAUGGUUGGAUGUCAACUGCAUCUCAAUAAAAAUUUGUAAAAAAUAAGAAUAAAAAUAAAAGAUGGUUGGGAAA